rnacentral:rRNA from 1 species
CCUCGGGAGGCAGCAGUGAGGAAUAUUGGUCAAUGGCCGUAAGGCUGAACCAGCCAAGUAGCGUGAGGGAAGACUGCCCUAUGGGUUGUAAACCUCUUUUAUGCGGGGAUAAAGGUGUCCACGUGUGGCUGUUUUCAGGUUCCGCAUGAAUAAGGCCCGGCUAAUUCCGUUCCAGCAGCCGCGGUAAUAAGGAAGGUCCGGGCGUUAUCCGGAUUUAUUGGGUUUAAAGGGAGCGUAUGCCGGUCUUUAAGCGUGCCGGGAAAUUUUGUGGGUCAAACAUGAGAGUGCGGCGCGAACUGGAGCCCUUGAGUGCGCGGAAGGCAGGCGGAAUUCGUGGUGUAGCGGUGAAAUGCUUAGAUAUCACGCAGAACCCCGAUUGCGAAGGCAGCCUGCCGCAGCGUUACUGACGCUGAAGCUCGAAAGCGCGGGUAUCGAACAGGAUUAGAGACCCCAGUAGUC